rnacentral:rRNA from 1 species
GAUGAACGCUGGCGGCGUGCCUAAUACAUGCAAGUCGAGCGAACGGACGAGAAGCUUGCUUCUCUGAUGUUAGCGGCGGACGGGUGAGUAACACGUGGAUAACCUACCUAUAAGACUGGGAUAACUUCGGGAAACCGGAGCUAAUACCGGAUAAUAUUUUGAACCGCAUGGUUCAAAAGUGAAAGACGGUCUUGCUGUCACUUAUAGAUGGAUCCGCGCUGCAUUAGCUAGUUGGUAAGGUAACGGCUCACCAAGGCAACGAUGCAUAGCCGACCUGAGAGGGGGAUCGGCCACACUGGAACUGGGACACGGUCCAGACUCCUACGGGAGGCAGCAGUAGGGAAUCUUCCGCAAUGGGCGGAAGCCUGACGGAGCCACGCCGCGUGAGUGAUGAAGGUCUUCGGAUCGUAAAACUCUGUUAUUAGGGAAGAACAUAUGUGUAAGUAACUGUGCACAGCUUGACGGUAACUAAUCAGAAAGCCACGGCUAACUACGUG